rnacentral:rRNA from 1 species
AUUGAACGCUAGCGGCAUGCUUUAAACAUGCAAGUCGAACUAGUGGCGGACUUGUGAGUAAUAUAUCGGCACGUGCCCAGUAGCGGGGUAUAACUACUCGAAAGCUUGGCUAAUACCGCAUACUUUUGUAUCGGCCGUUAUCGUAUUAGCUAGGUGGGGGGGUAAAGGCUCACCAAGGCAACGAUCCGUACCUGAUUUGAGAGGACGAUCGGCCACACUGGGACUGAGACACGGCCCAGACUCCUACGGGAGGCAGCAGUAGGGAAUUUUGGACAAUGGGGGAAACCCUGAUCCAGCAAUCCCGCGUGUGUGAGAAGGCCUUCGGGUCGUAAAACACUUUUGGCAGAGAAGCGGUAUCUACAGAAUAAGCACCGGCUAACUACGUGCCAGCAGCCGCGGUAAUAC